CAGUAUAUUUUGGUCUUGAUGUAACCUUGCUGUAGCCAUUGCUGUAAUGUGCCAGGUGUACUUGCAAUAAUCAGAGAAAGUGCGCACGAGUCAAAUCACACAGAGGGAGAGAGAGCACAACUCCUGGCUGCAGCUGAAGAAGGAGGACGAUUGAUUUCUGUCAGUUCGCUCUAACGUUACAGUUUGCUCCACUUUGCUCUGUGGUUUAUAUGUUUUCUUCUUACCAUUGCUUGUAAGCUGGAUUGAGUAAGAUGGAUCAUCUUUAAAGGAACCAGGAGUUAAGGCAGAUUUGGAGGCACACGGGUGACACCAGACACACACCAAGCACAUUGUUCGGUAAGUUUACACUUUACCACUACAGUUUCUUUAAAUACCCAUGUAUACACUCAUACAUAAUUCCCACACGCAACACUGUCACACGACCACACACACCCACACAGAAUAAAAUAUUGUAUCCAAAUCAGUAACAAUUGUACUUUCUGUUCAGGACAUUCAAUCAUGACAUGAUCCAUGUGGAUGCUGUCCAUUGAGGAAAGAGUUUGUUCAGAGGUUUCUGGACAGAAUUAAUCCCAAAGAUGGGAAAAAGUGCACAUCCAGACAAGGAGCAAGCAAAAAGACAAGGAACUUGGUGCAGAGAAAAGCUGUGGCCAUUAACCCCCAUGUGAACAGCUUCAUGCAGUCCCUGAUAGAGUUUGAAUGGGCGACUUCAAACUAAAGGCCAGUGUCAGUCUGCCACAGUUUAAUGCAUUUAUUUUUAGUGUUCAAUAAAAUUCAAAUAGAAUAUUUAAAACUAUGGGCCAGUGUUCUUUUUACCACAGUUAAAUGUUACCUUUUAGUUGAUGAUGGACUUAAAACUUCAAACUAUGGAACAGUGUUCUUUUUACCACAGUGAAAUGUUACCUUUUAGUCGAUGAUGGACUUUAAACUGAAAACUUCAAACUAUGGACCAGUGUUCUAUUUGCCAGAGUUAAAUAUAUUACAGCAGGGGCCUCCAAACUUGUUUAUACUUUAUAAUAUUUUAUUUUAUUUUACUUGUUUAUUAUUGUUUAUCUUGUUUUAAAUGAUUGUUUCAAUUACAUGUUUUUUUAAUAAAAUUUUUGAUAUAAACAUUGCUUGGAUUGCCUUUUAAUUCAUAAUGUCAUGUCAAGGAUAGCAUUUUUUUACUAUAUUAAUAACUAUAGAUUUAAACCUAAAUAUCUAGCUAUAAUACAUUAUUGUAUUAACUGUAAUAAGUAAUAAAUAGUAUU